rnacentral:tRNA from 1 species
UCCCUCAUAGCUCAGUUGGUAAAGAAUCUGCCUGCAUUGUAGGAGACCCAGGUUCGAUUCCUGGGCUGGGAA